UAAAAAUAUAGUAGGGGAAAGGUGAUUAAAAGGGUCUAGAACAUUCUGCCCUAAUUUAGGCCUAUAAAAGUCAUCACAAUGCCUUGAGAAGCAGGUUUUGGCAACUCAAGAAUUCACCCAAAACUGCCCUCAAAUCCUUCAGAUCUGAGAUUCACAUUUAGAUCAAGUUUUCCCUUAGAAUUUAGCUUCCUCAAUAGAGAAAACCAAACAAAAAAACAAUAGAAAGUUCAAAAUCUAAAGAAAAAUACAAAACACUGUGCAUUGAUUCUGUUUCAUUUUUUCAGUUCUUAGUUCAAUCGAUUAGCUCCUUUAGAAUCAGGAAAUAGCUGGAAUGCUCUCGUUCCUGUUCAACAUUUGAGAUCUGGAAAUAUUUGUGAUUGACUGUGGUUUGUUUUGGUUUAGUCGAGUUGGCUGAGGUGUGAUGCAUUGAGUGUUGGGUUCAGUUUUGGUGGUUUGGUGUUAUUUGACCAGUCUAUUUGAGUCUAUUUGGUUUUGAAAACACUUCUGGAUUUGCUGAACUAUCCUGGAUAACAUCUGAUUGUGUGAGCUGUGUUCCUGUUGAUCUAAUUGCUGUGAUUCGCUGGACUGUUUGCUGACCUCACUUCUUUUGUAUUUUGACCAAAUUCCAGGUACACUGCCCUAACCUCACUGGUGUAUAUGCAUUGAAGAUUGAAAUGAAAUGUGUGAAGGGUUUAUUGCUCAACUGAGGACUACUCGCAUUUAAUUGAUAUUAGUUAUAUCAUUUCUGUUAUAAAUGGUAGUUAAGUGUAUAGCUGAGACCGUUCCCUAAGGUUGACUGUCUGAUAAAUGUUAUUCAAACAUUAAAAUGUUGAUUUAGGCCCUUGUGGCAUGUUGAGUUAGUUUGAUAGGCUUGUUUAAUUAGAUUGGUUGAAUUAAUUUGAAAGUUUACAUGGACUUGAACGCGAUAAGUAGUCAGUAGAUGGAUAAACGCUUUGUUGAAAUGGCAAUAAUUUUGUAGUAGGAUUUCAAUUAAUGAACUGAUUUAAUAGAUUUCAUCCUACUUGUUAAUAACUUUAUCACUAAUCAAGUUAGUUUAUUAGAAUGCCAUGUGUUUGAAUAAUGGAUUUUGAAUUCGAUAGUGUGUAAACUUGCAUUGUUGUUGGUAAAUUAUGCAUUGAAAGAAACAAAAGCUCACCUACAUUGAUUGGUUUCAUUAAAACUAGUGAUCCAUGAUAAAUUGAUUCAGGAAUUUUGGAACUCAUGUCUAUCAGUUAAAAUGAGAGCCAGCUUUGUUGUUGUGGGGGCGUCGUCGUUGAUAGGGAUGUGCAUUCGAUUUAUCGAUUCGAUUUUGACCAUUAUCGAUAAUUACUUAUUGAUUAUCGAUUUGUAUAUACACUUAUUAUUGUCGUUUCAAUAAAGUUUCGAUUUUUUCGUUUUCGAUUUAUCGAUUUUGGGGGCUUAUCGAUUCGGUUAUCGAUUACACCAAUAAGAAAAUUUGCGGGAUUCCACAGAAAGUAUAUCGCUAUAAAGACGCCUAACUUAUAUGGACAAAAGGAAGCUAAAAUAAGACGAACACCAUUUAUAAUAUAAAAAUUGUAUCAACAAGCACAUGCAGCAAAACUAAAGCAAGAGAUCAAAUGUAUGCCACCAA
rnacentral:lncRNA from 1 species